UACGAAGGUGGCAAGCGUUGUUCGGAUUUACUGGGCGUACAGGGAGCGUAGGCGGUUGGGUAAGCCCUUCGUGAAAUCUCCGGGCCUAACCCGGAAAGUGCGGAGGGACUGCUCGGCUAGAGGAUGAGAGAGGAGCGCGGAAUUCCCGGUGUAGCGGUGAAAUGCGUAGAGAUCGGGAGGAAGGCCGGUGGCGAAGGCGGCGCUCUGGAACAUUUCUGACGCUGAGGCUCGAAAGGCGUGGGGAGCAAACAGG
rnacentral:rRNA from 1 species